rnacentral:rRNA from 1 species
UACGUAGGGUGCAGGCGUUAAUCGGAAUUACUGGGCGUAAAGCGUGCGCAGGCGGUUUGCUAAGAGAGAUGUGAAAUCCCCGGGCUUAACCUGGGAACUGCGUUUCUAACUGGCAGGCUUGAGUGUGGCAGAGGGGGGUGGAAUUCCACGUGUAGCAGUGAAAUGCGUAGAUAUGUGGAGGAACACCGCUGGCGAAGGCAGCCCCCUGGGCUAACACUGACGCUCAUGCACGAAAGCGUGGGGAGCAAACAGG